rnacentral:tRNA from 1 species
GGUAUGGUACUCAAGUGGCUAAAGAGGGCGGACUGCAAAUUCGCUAGUCGUUGGUUCGAAUCCAACCUAUACCU